rnacentral:snRNA from 1 species
AUACUUAUCUGGCAGGGAAGAUACCAUGAUCAUGAAGGUGGUUUUCCCAGGGUGAGGUUUAUUUAUUUCACUCUGGAUGUGCUGACGAUUUCCCCAAAUGGUAGGAAACUCAACUGCAUAAUUUGUGGUAGUGGGGGACUGCAUUCGUGCUCUCCCCUG